rnacentral:misc_RNA from 1 species
AAGUCGUAACAAGGUUUCCGUAGGUGAACCUGCGGAAGGAUCAUUACAGAGCGUGAAGCUAUGCGGAACUUCGUUUCGUGUAGUUGACCCUCCACCCGUGUCGAUUAUCUUAUGUUGCUUUGGCGGAUCGGGCUUGCCCGCGCCCACUUUGUGGGGGAUGUCCGCCAGGGAAGACCAAAACUCUUGUUAUCAGUGAUGUCUGAGGAUGAUAUAUAAUCAUGAAAACUUUCAACAACGGAUCUCUUGGCUCUG